rnacentral:RNase_P_RNA from 2 species
UCAGCUGGCCGGACGGUCGCUGCCGCAAGUGCCGAAAGGCCGCGGGGGAGGAAAGUCCGGGCUCCAUGGAAACACGGUGCCGGGUAACGCCCGGCGAGGGCGACCUCAGGGAAAGUGCCACAGAAAGCAAACCGCCCCGGCCUUCGGGCAAGGGGUAAGGGUGAAAGGGUGGGGUAAGAGCCCACCGCGCGGACGGUAACGGACGCGGCACGGUAAACCCCACCGGGAGCAAAACCGAAUAGGGAUGGCACAGGGCCUUCGGGUCCGGGUUGGUUUCCUGGCCAGCCAUCCGGGUAGGUUGCGUGAGGCGUCUGGCAACAGGCGUCCCAGAUGAAUGACCGUCGCGUAUGGAAGCUUGCUUCCGUGCCUUACAGAACCCGGCUUACAGGCCGGCUGACACC